rnacentral:rRNA from 1 species
UACGAAGGGUGCAGGCGUUACUCGGAAUUACUGGGCGUAAAGCGUGCGUAGGUGGUUUUUUAAGUCCGUUGUGAAAGCCCUGGGCUCAACCUGGGAAUGGCAGUGGAUACUGGAAAGCUAGAGUGCGGUAGAGGGUAGUGGAAUUCCCGGUGUAGCAGUGAAAUGCGUAGAGAUCGGGAGGAACACCAGUGGCGAAGGCGGCUACCUGGACCAGCACUGACACUGAGGCACGAAAGCGUGGGGAGCAAACAGG